UGCACUUGUGACUAGAGAGCACCUUGAUAGCUCAGUUGGCAGAGCGGUGGACUGUAAGAUGCUCCUUGUGCGAAACGCUGUGAUCGUAAGGUCGCUGGUUCAACUCCAUCCGGAAGAACCUCCUUGUCAUUGGAAAUACCCCCAAGUCUUGUCUUUAUCUGUCAACUCCUCCAAAAUGUAAAAACACAAACAAGAUAACUCUUUCUUAAAUUUUCAACCAUCAAUUUUUUAUUCACCCAUCCUAAAAGUCCUGAUUAUCAGUUCUUGGUCCCUGGCAAUGACUGUUGGGUACAAACUGCAAAGCUUUGUUCGUCAGGUAGGGCUGGGCUUUUCAUUGACCAUGGGUUGGAAUAGUUCUGUGGGCAUAGUGUGUCUUCGAAGCCACUAUGUUUUCUGCACUUGUGACUAGAGAGCACCUUGAUAGCUCAGUUGGUAGAGCGCUGGACUGUAAGAUGCUCCUUGUGUGAAACGCUGUGAUCCUAAGGUUGCUGGUUCAACUCCAGCCGGAAGCACCUCCUUGUCAUUGGAAAUACCCCCAAGCCUUGUCUUUAUCUGUCAACUCCUCCAAAAUGUAAAAACACAAACAAGAUAACUCUUUCUUAAAUUUUCAACCAUCAAUUUUUUAUUCACCCAGCCUAAAAGUCCUGAUUAUCAGUUCUGGGUCCCUGGCAAUGACUGUUGGGUACAAACUGCAAAGCUUUGUUCGUCAGGUAGGGCUGGGCUUUUCAUUGACCAUGGGUUGGAAUAGUUCUGUGGGCAUAGUGUGUCUUCGAAGCCACUAUGUUUUCUGCACUUGUGACUAGAGAGCACCUUGAUAGCUCAGUUGGUAGAGCGCUGGACUGUAAGAUGCUCCUUGUGUGAAACGCUGUGAUCGUAAGGUCGCUGGUUCAACUCCAUCCGGAAGAACAUCCUUGUCAUUGGAAAUACCCCCAAGCCUUGUCUUUAUCUGUCAACUCCUCCAAAAUGUAAAAACACAAACAAGAUAACUCUUUCUUAAAUUUUCAACCAUCAAUUUUUUAUUCACCCAUCCUAAAAGUCCUGAUUAUCAGUUCUUGGUCCCUGGCAAUGACUGUUGGGUACAAACUGCAAAGCUUUGUUCGUCAGGUAGGGCUGGGCUUUUCAUUGACCAUGGGUUGGAAUAGUUCUGUGGGCAUAGUGUGUCUUCGAAGCCACUAUGUUUUCUGCACUUGUGACUAGAGAGCACCUUGAUAGCUCAGUUGGUAGAGCGCUGGACUGUAAGAUGCUCCUUGUGUGAAACGCUGUGAUCCUAAGGUUGCUGGUUCAACUCCAGCCGGAAGCACCUCCUUGUCAUUGGAAAUACCCCCAAGCCUUGUCUUUAUCUGUCAACUCCUCCAAAAUGUAAAAACACAAACAAGAUAACUCUUUCUUAAAUUUUCAACCAUCAAUUUUUUAUUCACCCAGCCUAAAAGUCCUGAUUAUCAGUUCUGGGUCCCUGGCAAUGACUGCUGGGUACAAACUGCAAAGCUUUGUUCUGCAGGUAGGGCUGGGCUUUUCAUUGACCAUGGGUUGGAAUAGUUCUGUGGGCAUAGUGUGUCUUCGAAGCCACUAUGUUUUCUGCACUUGUGACUAGAGAGCACCUUGAUAGCUCAGUUGGUAGAGCGGUGGACUGUAAGAUGCUCCUUGUGUAAAACGCUUUGAUCCUAAGGUCGCUGGUUCAACUUCAGCCGCAAGCACCUCCUUGUCAUUGGAAAUACCCCCAAGCCUUGUCUUUAUCUGUCAACUCCUCCAAAAUGUAAAAACACAAACAAGAUAACUCUUUCUUAAAUUUUCAACCAUCAAUUUUUUAUUCACCCAGCCUAAAAGUCCUGAUUAUCAGUUCUGGGUCCCUGGCAAUGACUGUUGGGUACAAACUGCAAAGCUUUGUUCGUCAGGUAGGGCUGGGCUUUUCAUUAACCAUGGGUUGGAAUAGUUCUGUGGGCAUAGUGUGUCUUCGAAGCCACUAUGUUUUCUGCACUUGUGACUAGAGAGCACCUUGAUAGCUCAGUUGGUAGAGCGGUGGACUGUAAGAUGCUCCUUGUGUGAAACGCUGUCAUCCUAAGGUCGCUGGUUCAACUCCAGCCGGAAGCACCUCCUUGUCAUAGGAAAUACCCCCAAGCCUUGUCUUUAUCUGUCAACUCCUCCAAAAUGUAAAAACACAAACAAGAUAACUCUUUCUUAAAUUUUCAACCAUCAAUUUUUUAUUCACCCAGCCUAAAAGUCCUGAUUAUCAGUUCUGGGUCCCUGGCAAUGACUGUUGGGUACAAACUGCAAAGCUUUGUUCGUCAGGUUGGGCUGGGCUUUUCAUUGACCAUGGGUUGGAAUAGUUCUGUGGGCAUAGUGUGUCUUCGAAGCCACUAUGUUUUCUGCACUUGUGACUAGAGAGCACCUUGAUAGCUCAGUUGGUAGAGCGGUGGACUUUAAGAUGCUCCUUGUGUGAAACGCUGUGAUCCUAAGGUCGCUGGUUCAACUCCAGCCGGAAGCACCUCCUUGUCAUUGGAAAUACCCCCAAGCCUUGUCUUUAUCUGUCAACUCCUCCAAAAUGUAAAAACACAAACAAGAUAACUCUUUCUUAAAUUUUCAACCAUCAAUUUUUUAUUCACCCAGCCUAAAAGUCCUGAUUAUCAGUUCUGGGUCCCUGGCAAUGACUGUUGGGUACAAACUGCAAAGCUUUGUUCGUCAGGUAGGGCUGGGCUUUUCAUUGACCAUGGGUUGGAAUAGUUCUGUGAGCAUAGUGUGUCUUCGAAGCCACUAUGUUUUCUGCACUUGUGACUAGAGAGCACCUUGAUAGCUCAGUUGGUAGAGCGGUGGACUGUAAGAUGCUCCUUGUGUGAAACGCUGUGAUCCUAAGGUCGCUGGUUCAACUCCAGCCGGAAGCACCUCCUUGUCAUUGGAAAUACCCCCAAGCCUUGUCUUUAUCUGUCAACUCCUCCAAAAUGUAAAAACACAAACAAGAUAACUCUUUCUUAAAUUUUCAACCAUCAAUUUUUUAUUCACCCAGCCUAAAAGUCCUGAUUAUCAGUUCUGGGUCCCUGGCAAUGACUGCUGGGUACAAACUGCAAAGCUUUGUUCUGCAGGUAGGGCUGGGCUUUUCAUUGACCAUGGGUUGGAAUAGUUCUGUGGGCAUAGUGUGUCUUCGAAGCCACUAUGUUUUCUGCACUUGUGACUAGAGAGCACCUUGAUAGCUCAGUUGGUAGAGCGGUGGACUGUAAGAUGCUCCUUGUGUAAAACGCUUUGAUCCUAAGGUCGCUGGUUCAACUCCAGCCGCAAGCACCUCCUUGUCUUUGGAAAUACCCCCAAGCCUUGUCUUUAUCUGUCAACUCCUCCAAAAUGUAAAAACACAAACAAGAUAACUCUUUCUUAAAUUUUCAACCAUCAAUUUUUUAUUCACCCAGCCUAAAAGUCCUGAUUAUCAGUUCUUGGUCCCUGGCAAUGACUGUUGGGUACAAACUGCAAAGCUUUGUUCGUCAGGUAGGGCUGGGCUUUUCAUUGACCAUGGGUUGGAAUAGUUCUGUGGGCAUAGUGUGUCUUCGAAGCCACUAUGUUUUCUGCACUUGUGACUAGAGAGCACCUUGAUAGCUCAGUUGGUAGAGCAAUGCACUGUAACAUGCUCCUUGUGUGAAAAGCUGUGAUCCUAAGGUAGCUGGUUCAACUCCAGCCGGAAGCACCUCCUUGUCAUUGGAAAUACCCCCAAGCCUUGUCUUUAUCUGUCAACUCCUCCAAAAUGUAAAAACACAAACAAGAUAACUCUUUCUUAAAUUUUCAACCAUCAAUUUUUUAUUCACCCAGCCUAAAAGUCCUGAUUAUCAGUUCUGGGUCCCUGGCAAUGACUGCUGGGUACAAACUGCAAAGCUUUGUUCUGCAGGUAGGGCUGGGCUUUUCAUUGACCAUGGGUUGGAAUAGUUCUGUGGGCAUAGUGUGUCUUCGAAGCCACUAUGUUUUCUGCACUUGUGACUAGAGAGCACCUUGAUAGCUCAGUUGGUAGAGCGGUGGACUGUAAGAUGCUCCUUGUGUGAAAAGCUGUGAUCCUAAGGUCGCUGGUUCAACUCCAGCCGGAAGCACCUCCUUGUCAUUGGAAAUACCCCCAAGCCUUGUCUUUAUCUGUCAACUCCUCCAAAAUGUAAAAACACAAACAAGAUAACUCUUUCGUAAAUUUUCAACCAUCAAUUUUUUAUUCACCCAGCCUAAAAGUCCUGAUUAUCAGUUCUGGGUCCCUGGCAAUGACUGUUGGUUACAAACUGCAAAGCUUUGUUCGUCAGGUAGGGCUGGGCUUUUCAUUGACCAUGGGUUGGAAUAGUUCUGUGGGCAUAGUGUGUCUUCGAAGCCACUAUGUUUUCUGCACUUGUGACUAGAGAGCACCUUGAUAGCUCAGUUGGUAGAGCGGUGGACUGUAAGAUGCUCCUUGUGUGAAACUCUGUGAUCCUAAGGUCGCUGGUUCAACUCCAGCCGGAAGCACCUCCUUUGUCAUUGGAAAUACCCCCAAGCCUUGUCUUUAUCUGGCAACUCCUCCAAAAUGUAAAAACACAAACAAGAUAACUCUUUCUUAAAUUUUCAACCAUCAAUUUUUUAUUCACCCAGCCUAAAAGUCCUGAUUAUCAGUUCUGGGUCCCUGGCAAUGACUGUUGGGUACAAACUGCAAAGCUUUGUUCUGCAGGUAGGGCUGGGCUUUUCAUUGACCAUGGGUUGGAAUAGUUCUGUGGGCAUAGUGUGUCUUCGAAGCCACUAUGUUUUCUGCACUUGUGACUAGAGAGCACCUUGAUAGCUCAGUUGGCAGAGCGGUGGCCUGUAAGAUGCUCCUUGUGUGAAACGCUGUGAUCGUAAGGUCGCUGGUUCAACUCCAGCCGGAAGCACCUCCUUGUCAUUGGAAAUACCCCCAAGCCUUGUCUUUAUCUGUCAACUCCUCCAAAAUGUAAAAACACAAACAAGAUAACUCUUUCUUAAAUUUUCAACCAUCAAUUUUUUAUUCACCCAGCCUAAUAGUCCUGAUUAUCAGUUCUGGGUCCCUGGCAAUGACUGUUGGGUACAAACUGCAAAGCUUCGUUCGUCAGGUAGGGCUGGGCUUUUCAUUGACCAUGGGUUGGAAUAGUUCUGUGGGCAUAGUGUGUCUUCAAAGCCACUAUGUUUUCUGCACUUGUGACUACAGAGCACCUUGAUAGCUCAGUUGGUAGAGCGGUGGACUGUAAGAUGCUCCUUGUGUGAAACGCUGUGAUCGUAAGGUCGCUGGUUCAACUCCAGCAGGAACCACCUCCUUGUCAUUGGAAAUACCCCCAAGCCUUGUCUUUAUCUGGCAACUCCUCCAAAAUGUAAAAACACAAACAAGAUAACUCUUUCUUAAAUUUUCAACCAUCAAUUUUUUAUUCACCCAGCCUAAAAGUCCUGAUUAUCAGUUCUGGGUCCCUGGCAAUGACUGCUGGGUACAAACUGCAAAGCUUUGUUCUGCAGGUAGGGCUGGGCUUUUCAUUGACCAUGGGUUGGAAUAGUUCUGUGGGCAUAGUGUGUCUUCGAAGCCACUAUGUUUUCUGCACUUGUGACUAGAGAGCACCUUGAUAGCUCAGUUGGUAGAGCGGUGGACUGUAAGAUGCUCCUUGUGUAAAACGCUUUGAUCCUAAGGUCGCUGGUUCAACUCCAGCCGGAAGCACCUCCUUGUCAUUGGAAAUACCCCCAAGCCUUGUCUUUAUCUGUCAACUCCUCCAAAAUGUAAAAACACAAACAAGAUAACUCUUUCUUAAAUUUUCAACCAUCAAUUUUUUAUUCACCCAGCCUAAAAGUCCUGAUUAUCAGUUCUGGGUCCCUGGCAAUGACUGUUGGGUACAAACUGCAAAGCUUUGUUCUGCAGGUAGGGCUGGGCUUUUCAUUGACCAUGGGUUGGAAUAGUUCUGUGGGCAUAGUGUGUCUCCGAAGCCACUAUGUUUUCUGCACUUGUGACUAGAGAGCACCUUGAUAGCUCAGUUGGCCGAGCCAGUGGUCUGUAAGAUGCUCCUUGUGUGAAACGCUGUGAUCCUAAGGUCGCUGGUUCAACUCCAGCCGGAAGCACCUCUUUGUCAUUGGAAAUACCCCCAAGCCUUGUCUUUAUCUGGAAACUCCUCCAAAAUGUAAAAACACAAACAAGAUAACUCUUUCUUAAAUUUUCAACCAUCAUUUUUUUAUUCACCCAGCCUAAAAGUCCUGAUUAUCAGUUCUGGGUCCCUGGCAAUGACUGUUGGGUACAAACUGCAAAGCUUUGUUCGUCAGGUAGGGCUGGGCUUUUCAUUGACCAUGGGUUGGAAUAGUUCUGUGAGCAUAGUGUGUCUUCGAAGCCACUAUGUUUUCUGCACUUGUGACUAGAGAGCACCUUGAUAGCUCAGUUGGUAGAGCGGUGGACUGUAAGAUGCUCCUUGUGUGAAACGCUGUGAUCCUAAGGUCGCUGGUUCAACUCCAGCCGGAAGCACCUCCUUGUCAUAGGAAAUACCCCCAAGC